UCUUCCAAUAAGAGGAGGGACAGUGA
rnacentral:piRNA from 1 species